rnacentral:tRNA from 1 species
GGAGAGGUGGCUGAGUGGCUGAAAGCAGCGGUUUGCUAAACCGCGGUACUGGUUUUAAGCCGGUACCGGGGGUUCGAAUCCCCCCCUCUCCGCCA